rnacentral:rRNA from 1 species
GACGACGCUGGCGGCGUGGAUUAGGCAUGCAAGUCGAACGGUAUCAUCCUUUCGGGGGUGAGAGAGUGGCGAACUGGUGAGUAACACGUAGGUUAUCUACCCUCAAGACGGGACAACCCAGGGAAACUUGGGCUAAUAUCGGAUGUGAGCAACUUUUAGUUGUUUGAAAGGUGGCGUAAGCUGUCGCUUGGGGAUGAGCCUGCGUCCUAUUAGUUAGUUGGUGAGGUAACGGCUCACCUAGGCAAUGAUAGGUAGGCGGCCUUAACGGGUGGUCGCCCACACUGGGAUUGAGAUACGGCCCAGACUCCUACGGGAGGCAGCAGUCGAGAAUAGUCUACAAUGGUCGGAAGACUGAUAGUGCGACGCCGCGUGAACGAUGAAUCCCUUCGGGGUGUAAAGUUCUUUUAUAUGUGAGCAGUGCUUCUUAUAUUAACAGUAUGGGGAGAGAGAUAUUAGCAUAUGAAUAAGCAACGGCUAACUCCGUG